rnacentral:misc_RNA from 1 species
CCUUGAACGAAACAAUGGAAGCAGCAGUUUCAGGGAAUUGCUCCAUGAUCAACAUCUUGGCUCCUCUGUACUCAAAAAGAAACAAAAGAAGAGUGUACCAAAUGAUACACUGCAAAACCACCACCUGAACCAUGAGGCUACCGGAGUACUCGCCGUACAUGGCAAUCAACAAAGGAAUGCCCAUGACUAGUGUGUUUGGAAGAGUAGACAAGGAGAAAAUUGUAAUCAUCCAUUCUAAACUUCCGUUUUUAGUGAAAUUAGUCCAAAUACCGAGAGCGAAAAGCAUUAUAAUCUUUUGAAGCGUAUCGGCGGCAAUGAACCGGAAAU